AGCAGCCGCGGUAAUUCCAGCUCCAAUAGCGUAUAUUAAAGUUGUUGCAGUUAAAAAGCUCGUAGUUGAAUUUCGGGAUUGGCGCAUCGGUCGUGCCUCACGGGGUAUGAACUGGUGCAGUCAAUUUCUCACCUUCUGGAGAACCGCGAUGUCCUUAAUUGGAUGCCGCGGGGAACCAGGACCUUUACUUUGAAAAAUUAGAGUGUUUAAAGCAGGCAUUUUUGCUUGAAUACAUUAGCAUGGAAUAAUAAAAUAGGACGGCAUGGUUCUAUUUUGUUGGUUUCUAGGACCACCGUAAUGAUUAAUAGGGAUAGUUGGGGGCAUUAGUAUUCAAUUGUCAGAGGUGAAAUUCUUGGAUUUAUUGAAGACUAACUACUGCGAAAGCAUUUGCCAAGGAUGUUUUCAUUAAUCAAGAACGAAAGUUAGGGGAUCGAAGACGAUCAGAUACCGUCGUAGUCUUAACCAUAAACUAGUGCCGACUAGGAAUCAGACG
rnacentral:rRNA from 1 species